UACGAAGGUGGCGAAUGAUACUCGGAUUUACUGGGCGUAAAGCGUCCGCAGGUGGUUUAUCAAGUCAGGGGUGAAAUCCCGAGGCUCAACCUCGGAACUGCCUUUGAUACUGGGGAUCUCGAGUCCGGGAGAGGUGAGUGGAACUGCGAGUGUAGAGGUGAAAUUCGUAGAUAUUCGCAAGAACACCAGUGGCGAAGGCGGCUCACUGGCCCGGAACUGACGCUGAGGUGCGAAAGCGUGGGGAGCAAACAGG
rnacentral:rRNA from 1 species